GAUGAACGCUGGCGGCGUGCCUAAUACAUGCAAGUCGAGCGAACGGACGAGAAGCUUGCUUUUCUGAUGUUAGCGGCGGACGGGUGAGUAACACGUGGAUAACCUACCUAUGAGACUGGGAUAACUUCGGGAAACCGGAGCUAAUACCGGAUAAUAUUUUGAACCGCAUGGUUCAAAAGUGAAAGACGGUCUUGCUGUCACUUAUAGAUGGAUCCGCGCUGCAUUAGCUAGUUGAUAAGGUAACGGCUUACCAAGGCAACGAUGCAUAGCCGACCUGAGAGGGUGAUCGGCCACACUGGAACUGAGACACGGUCCAGACUCCUACGGGAGGCGGCAGUAGGGAAUCUUCCGCAAUGGGCGAAAGCCUGACGGAGCAACGCCGCGUGAGUGAUGAAGGUCUUCGGAUCGUAAAACUCUGUUAUUAGGGAAGAACAUAUGUGUAAGUAACUGUGCACAUCUUGACGGUACCUAAUCAGAAAGCCACGGCUAACUACGUG
rnacentral:rRNA from 1 species